rnacentral:rRNA from 1 species
UACGAAGGGGCUAGCGUUGCUCGGAAUUACUGGGCGUAAAGGGCGCGUAGGCGGAUAUUUAAGUCGGGGUGAAAGCCCGGGGCUCAACCUCGGAAUUGCCUUCGAUACUGGAUAUCUUGAGUUCGGGAGAGGUGAGUGGAAUGCCGAGUGUAGAGGUGAAAUUCGUAGAUAUUCGGCGGAACACCAGUGGCGAAGGCGACUCACUGGCCCGAUACUGACGCUGAGCACGAAGCGUGGGAGCAACA